CACGAUCCAUGCGCCGAGAUUUGUGCAUCUCAGAAUAAACGGCUCGUGCUUAAUGCUAAUUAUAUUUAAAUUGUCCCUUGAGGAUAACAAAAGACAAUAAAAUCAUUCUUAGACCUAAUCAUAACCCCGAAAUUACGACAAUUAAUCGAAUCGCAAAAACGGAUGAAAUCUUUAACGGAGUGGAGUAGUGGCGAAUUAAUUAGCAUGCCGAGCUAUGAACCUGAAAACCAGUUUCGAUCCGGGCCACGGCUACCAUCCGUUGAGAGAUGUCCAAACCAACGUCCCACACACUCCUUCACCAACCGGUACUAACCAGCGUGGGCAGCACCCAGGCCUGGAUCAGACAUCACUCGCAACUGACGUGAGCUGUCAUUGGGAAUCAACUCGGGUCGCCUGGCUAAGAGCAUCGCAUGCCAAACACCGAGCCACCGCUCCACCGAAACGGCACCACGCCAGCAGCGAGCCUCGAGCUCCUUGCCCCGGGGGUGUUCGCUGCGUGCCGGUGCUGCUGUUCGGGAACCAGGCCAGGGCGCGGUGUUGUUUGUGAAUCGUCGCCGACGUCGUCAUCAGCCCACGCGGGACGCGCGUAGGUCACGCGUGCAGCAACGGGAGGUGGCGAUUAAAGGCCCUCGCGGGAGGUGACGGUGGUGUCACGUUGGCUGAGAAUCCCCGAGGUUAUUUUGUUAUUUUUUAUUUAUUAUGAAUGCUUGUUUAGCCAGGAAAGUCCCGCCGAAUCUCAACUUUUUAUUCAGGUUCGCCAAGCAUUGGGAUGUUACACCAAAUAUUUUUUUUCUUGGAGAGGGGCGGGGGGGGGGGUUGGUGAGUUUUUGCAUCGUCGUUCCUGCAGGCAUCCCUCUGCACAUAUCGAACGUGGAACCUCUGUGCAGCCACUGCCUAAACUGGGACCGCCGAUUCCUCAAAAAGGGGCGGAAUCCCACGACACGAGUCACCCGGAACGCACAUAAAUUCCGUCAAACCUCGGUAGCUCAGCAGGUUGGAGCCUGGUGUGUGCUUUGGAUGGGUGACCACCAUGCACAAACAUGCUGUCAUCGGGCUGUGACGGCACAUCGCAGGAAGCAGAGGAGUGCUUCAAUAAAUGUUAAGUUAUAUGGGACUAUCGUUUUUAAUGGAAAAAAAAGAACGAAGAAUAUAUUGUAACAUAAGUGUAAUGUUAAUAGCUUUAAAAAAAAAAGUCAGUCUCCACUUGUUCGUCAUCGUUGUCCACGCGUGGCCUGGAAUCUUCUCCAGGUGAUCUCCAGAGCCCGGAGGCAGCAGCACAUUUCUCGUGGUAAACUCAGAAGCGUUACCAUUUAUUUGAAGCACUCUGUAUUCCACUGUACUUCAGCUCCCGCGUCUCUACAUGAUGUAUGGGCAUACGACCCCACUACCCAGUCUUUUGGGUGUGGAGACCCUCAUCCAGCAGUGGAUUGGAAAAGUGGUGCGGCAAAGUCUUCAUCCAGCACUGGAUUGAUAAAGGCUGGGAGUUACUUAAACUUCCAACAUUUUCCAACGUGGAAUGAGCAAAAUUAAUAUUUUAUAAAAAAAACCCUACCAACCCACCCAUGGUGUUACGAUCGUACAUUUAUCAGUGAGAUAGACUCAAUUGCAUAAAUACGAAUACUGUACGUGUUUAAUGGAUAGUGAGUAAACCAUAUUGCAACAGAACCUACAGCACACUUGAGUAUCGCACUCAACGAAGCCACGCAAACAUUACAGAACUCGCGCAAUAAUAACCUCAAACAAUGCACUACGAUCCGGGUUCCAACGCAGUAAUAAUAAAAAAAUCACAUGCCGUGAAUGGGGAUAAAACAAAAACCCACAAUGCAUGCCGACACCGUCGUCUUGCAUCGUGACGCGACUCGUGUUUAAUUCCAGGGCCACCAAAAACGAUGCCUUAAGACAACCCCACAGCAGUCCUCAAAAAGUGCAUCCAGUUCCGUCUCGCCGAACCGAAAGCACCACCCGACACACGAUGCAAAGUCAUCCUCGGCGUCGGUUCUGCAGAUGAUGACGCGGCGUCUCCAGAGCGUUUCUUCACACGCGUCGAGCGAAUUCGCAUCACUUCUCACCUCGACACGUCUCGAAAGGGCACACCCAGUGGCAGCCAUCCCUGCGUGGCACAAGGUGACUCUGGCACCUGGCCUGCGAGCGGGCGUGAGUUUGCCAGUAAGGGGGGGGGGGGGGAGGCCAAUGAUUGCCAUGUGGUUUUGCUUAGGGCACCCGCAGUGGUAGCUGUCCCUGUGCGACGCAAGCUACAAUCUGGCUUGGCACCUGGCUUACGAGCGGGCGUUAUUCUGCCAGUAGGGGGCGAUGAUUCACGAGUGGUUUUGCUUAGGGGACCCGCAGUGGUAGCUGUCCCUGUGCGACAAGCUAAAAGCUGGCUCGGCACCUGGCUUGCGAGCGGGCGUUAUUCUGCCAGUAGGGGGCGAUGAUUCACGAGUGGUUUUGCUUCGGGGACCCACGGCAGCAGCUGUCCCUGUGCGGCACAAGCUGGCUCGGCACCUGGCCUGCGAGAGGGCGUGAGUUUGCAGCAGGGAGCAGCAACGACUGCUGCCGCGUGCGAUCCAAACCGAGUACUGUAAACCGAGUACUGUACACAACGAAAAACGAGAGGCAAACUCCCAAGGGCAGCAGCUGGGCCCAUGGUUGUACGAGGUCGCUCAGGUGCCCUCGGGCCGUGCAGUGGCGCCGCCAACGCGCAUACCGACACGCGUGCGUGCGCGCCGCCACCACCGCUGGUCAUGGAUCACGGGUGCGUGCGUAGCGGCUGCCGUGGACACGUGGCUCGGCUGAGGCCGACAGAAAGUGGCAGAGGCCACUUCAAGUACAGGGUAGAAUUAGCUCCCCUGUGCGCGCUCCUCCUUCACUGGGUGGGGGGAGGGGGAGAAAUUGAACCCCCCCCCCCGCCAUGCCCCAGGCCACCGUUGUAAUCCAAUGAAUUAUCACGAUUUUAUUCGCGAUUAUCACCGAUUAUUUUUUACAUUGUGCCGAGUGCCGCAGCCAACCAGUUACUUGCAAUAAUAGGAACCCCAUUACCAGCAAGCGAGCCUUUGGGAAUCCAACCAAAUAAAUGUGUAAGCACACCGCUCAAUGCAGCGCACAGUGCGAGCUUUUAGAAUGGAGAUGAAUCGAUGAUUUGCACAGCGCGUCUCCAGACUUUGUUUCACGUAGAGGCCAAGUCACUGCUGUAACUUUCCAGCCCGAUCACUUCCACCAGCAUCUUGCUCUCCGCUCAGCCGCCCACGAGUGCCACUCACAGAUCGCAACGGCGGCGACAUUAGACAGAGGAAAAGUGCUCCAUCUGUUGCUUACAGUAAAAAAUGUACACGGACGCCUAUAAACACGGGUCUACAAUGUACAUACAUCUACAUUUCACGUGAAUAAAUAAACGAGAUCAGUACGUAAAUCAAGAAUAAGGGUCGGGCAGACACACAGGGGAUACAAGUUUGUGAACCAUAGUGGCGGGCCGGUCACAAUGGGAGAUGAUUUGCGGUUUCCAUUGCAGCAAGGUAAUCGUUGUUCAACCGGGCACAGGAACACUGGGCCCGCAACUUCGCUUCACACUGCCCACAACCGCAUGGGGCCAGCCUCGUCCGCAGGACAAACCCAGAUGGAUUUCUCGGUCAGCCUAAGUCUAGCAGAAGUGUGCAACAUCCUGCAGUGAAGCCCAACACGGCAACACCCCUCCCCCCCUUCCAGAUCUUGGCACAAAUUAAAUCCUACUGCCACCCGAACACAGGUGCUAAUUCCUGGGGUGCCCGGGUCACACCCGGACAGGUUGCAACCCUAGGCCUACCACUUAAAA